rnacentral:lncRNA from 1 species
AUGAUGAGAAGUGUGUGUGUCCGUGUCUGUGUGUGUGUGUCUGUUGUCUGUGUGUGUCUAUCUGUAUUUGUGUUGUGUGUGUGCCUGUGUUGUCUGUGUCUGUGUGUUGUGUGUGUGUCUGUGUGUCUGUGUCUGUUGUCUGUGUGUGUCUAUCUGUAUCUGUGUUGUGUGUGUGCCUGUGUUGUCUGUGUCUGUGUGUUGUGUGUGUGUGUGUCUGUGUCUGUUGUCUGUGUGUGUCUAUCUGUAUUUGUGUUGUGUGUGUGCCUGUGUUGUCUGUGUCUGUGUGUUGUGUGUGUGUCUGUGUGUCUGUGUCUGUUGUCUGUGUGUGUCUAUCUGUAUCUGUGUUGUGUGUGUGCCUGUGUUGUCUGUGUCUGUGUGUUGUGUGUGUGUGUCUGUGUGUCUGUGUCUGUUGUCUGUGUGUGUCUAUCUGUAUCUGUGUUGUGUGUGUGCCUGUGUUGUCUGUGUCUGUGUGUUGUGUGUGUGUGUCUGUGUGUCUGUUGUCUGUGUGUGUCUAUCUGUAUCUGUGUUGUGUGUGUGCCUGUGUCUGUGUGUUGUGUGUGUGCCUGUGUUGUCUGUGUCUGUGUGUUGUGUGUGUGUGUGUCUGUGUCUGUUGUCUGUGUGUGUCUAUCUGUAUUUGUGUUGUGUGUGUGCCUGUGUUGUCUGUGUCUGUGUGUUGUGUGUGUGUCUGUGUGUCUGUGUCUGUUGUCUGUGUGUGUCUAUCUGUAUUUGUGUUGUGUGUGUGCCUGUGUUGUCUGUGUCUGUGUGUUGUGUGUGUGUGUCUGUGUGUCUGUGUCUGUUGUCUGUGUGUGUCUAUCUGUAUCUGUGUUGUGUGUGUGCCUGUGUUGUCUGUGUCUGUGUGUUGUCUGUGUGUGUCUGUGUGUCUGUUGUCUGUGUGUGUCUAUCUGUAUCUGUGUUGUGUGUGUGCCUGUGUUGUCUGUGUCUGUGUGCUGUGUGUGUGUGUGUGUGUGUGUCGUCUGUGUGUGUCUAUCUGUAUCUGUGUUGUGUGUGUGCCUGUGUUGUCUGUGUGUGUGUGUUGUGUGUGUGUGUCUGUGUGUCUGUGUCUGUUGUCUGUGUGUAUCUAUCUGUAUCUGUGUUGUGUGUGUGCCUGUGUUGUCUGUGUCUGUGUGUCUAUCUGUGUCUGUGUUUUGUGUUGUCUGUCUGUAUUGUGUCUGUGUGUGUGUGGUGGUAACAGCACAAAGGCCCAAGUGCUCUGGUAGAAGGGCAGGAAUGGCAGUGGGCUGGAGUGGGGGAUCUUGGUGGGCUGAUGGGGUACAGCUGUGGGUGGGGAGGCUCCUGAGAAGGCCCAUCAGAGGCGGUGGUGCUGGGAUGACGAGGGAGGGAGGUGAGCCACCGAGUUUCCAGAGUAGUUGCUGCAUCUCCACACUCUGGCCAGGCCAGGCUCAGGACUCCUUCCCCAGGCUGCCCAUCUGCUCCCAAGAUGACCCAAGGCUUCCUCUAGGCUCCGGGCUACAGCCUCUCUCUCAGCACUUUGUCCAGGGAAAGGUUCCCAAGGGACUGGGAAGGCACUGGCUGGGCCAGUCUCUGACCUGA